GUCAAAGGAAAGAGCUCCUUCUGGAGCUGUCAAGCUCUCGUUUGGCAGCUCGGUGACUGGCUUGGUCUACUUCUGAGGUGCCGAGGCAAGUUGUCUGCUGUUUUGAAAUGGUAACAUUGGCAAUGGGGUCCCUUGUGUUGUUGAGGGAUGGGUGCUAAUGCUGGCAUCUGAAUGAUUAUCUUCUGACUGUUUUCAUUUGUUAAAGCUUAAACGCAGUGUACAACCUGGGACGUCACACCCAGAGCUGCCUCUGGCAAGAGGUGUUGUAGCUGGCUUAAGAGGGUAGAUGGAAGCAUCUGCCUCGGGGUGUCUCGCAGAGGUUCAAAGGAGCAAACUGCAUUCUGAAGAGCUGCGUGCCAUGGCAGGCUUUCCACACAAGUGGCUGAGGACUUGAGAUGAGACCAGAGAGUGACAAGGAGCAGCACGUGCAGGGAUGGUUUCCAAGCGCUGCGGUCGCUUUCUCUUCUGUUCAUCAGGUGCCACAGGCAAGGUGAAGAGGUGCCUGGAGCCCCAUGUCAUCUAGCCUGCGUGUGCCUUGAGGAUGAAGCCUGCUUUCCAGCAGUCCCUAAAGCUAAGUUUGGCCUGAAAUGCCCUGUCUGUGUCUUGGGUGGGGUUGUACCUUGGUGUCUUGUGUGAUAUGUGCAUGGGGAUGGCUUUUAAAUCAGUGCAGCAGAGGAACAGAAUCCAGUAACAACUGGGUGAAGAGGCCCUGGGUUCAUCCUUUUCAGCCUAGUGUGUGCCAGGCAGGGCAGUUCCAGCAUGUGUUCUAUGGUGUAUGUUUGUUUCUGUGUACUACAGUAUCCAUUUAUCAGGUCUUGUUCCCAUAGUUCUUGGCUUCUGCAGUGCUUGCUGAGCACCAUAUCAUGGGUCUUAAAUGUAUUGUCUGGUUGGCACGGGACUAGUAAUGAAGUGUUUCUUGUCUUUCAUUGGGACUUUAAAAGGCUGAUCUCUCUCCAGAGCUUGAUGUAGUCUACAUUUCUUGAUGGCGGCCAUCAUGGCCCUCAGUCUUGGGCUUGUGUAUGUUCAUGUACAGUUUGGGAGCAUGGCUCCAUGUGGUUUGGGGUCCCGGUUCUGUGGUUUUGGACUAAUGUUUCUGGUUUGGGGGGGGCGGAUGUGGGUGGCUCUCUGCAUGGUGCUGCCCCGGCCUGCCCCACCGCUGUGUGGUACCGCCCCGGCCGAGUUGGAGCAUGUGAGCAGCUGAAGAAAAACAGCUAGCGAAAGAGAGGUAUUGCAGCAGGUAGGCUGUGCCUGUGAGGUGCCUGAGGAUCUGCCUUUUCUUUUUUUUUUUUCUUUUGUGGGUGCUUCCUGCAGUCUUGGAGAGGUGAAUUCCCACAUCGUGGAGUGCUGAGAAAAGGCGAGAGGGUCGUCAGCCCAGUCAGUGUCCCU